UGAGUUGUGGCUCAGUGGUGGAGCUCUUGCCUUGCAUGUUUGAGGUAUUGGGUUCAAUUCUCAGCACCACAU
rnacentral:tRNA from 1 species